AUUUAACUUAGAAGAAGUGAUCACAAGUAGACACUCAUCAACACUCAUCACUUUCCAGCUAAUACUACACUGUUUGCAAAUAGAACGGGAGAAAAUCUCUGCAUCUUGAAGGCUCUGACAGGUAACUGUGAAGAAACUGCAAGUGGAACAGCCUUCUCUUUGAAAUCCUGAAGACUGUUUUUGCCUUAGCAUCAUUGGAUCACUUCUUGGAUGCUAAUGAGCAGCUUCACUGUCUCUGAAUGGGCUCCAGCUCUCCAAGAGGCUGUGGACAGUUUCUGGAUGUCUCCAUGGGCUGAUGGUAGACAGGUCUGUGGUUGUGUGCCUGCAGUAAAGUGGUAAAACCUAUCCUUCUGUUCCAGCCUGCUCUCUUUCUCAUGCCAGCUUAUUAUAGGCUGUUUGAGAUGUUCCAGGAUAAGCCACUUCUUUUCACAUAUUUUCAUUUGUAAAUUCACUCUGUGCCUGGGCAUCUCUUUUGUGUGUGUGUGUUUGGAAAUCAGUGGUUCAAUUUAAAACUAUUCAGUAUGAUGUCAAGGUUCACACCCUCCAAAACAGCAAUCUUGUUUUAAUGCUUGAGUUGCUUUAGGUUUCUCUCCAAAUACCUUUAAUUCUCUAGAAAAUCUGCAGCAUAUCUGUAAGUAUAUAGACUAUACAGAAGUAUAUGUAAAGGUAUCUGAGUGCAUUAGGCCAGAUAUUAGGAAUAAAUGGGAUGACCACCUGUUUAGCAUUCAGCUUCACCUAUCUAAACUAUAAUUUUCAUUUGUACUGUGUGACAUUUAAAUCAAUGCCCACAAAAUAAAAUUGCUUUGUUUAAUAAUCCUUUGUGCCAGGGUUAUCAAUAGUUCAUUAGUCUUGCUUUGCAUCUGUCAAUAAAAGGUGCAUCUGAGAAGGAGAAUGCUCAAGGAAAGGAGUAUAUUCUGUAUGGGAAGAUGUCUUCACUUUGGCCACCCUUUCCCUCCUUUUGAUUGUAGGCUGCAUGGUGUGGUUGCAAUGUACCCAUAGCUUUUUUUUUUCUCUUGAAACGUGGUAGAGACUGCUAUAAGGUUUCAUUUAUUCCUGAAGAGCCAAAAGUGGCUCUUGAGUCCUGAGCUAUAUUCACACCAUAAAAACACAGGUGUGAGAAACUUCCACAGCAGGAUCAGUAAUUAUUUUAGCUGCCCUUUGGGUUUUGCCACUCAUCCAAAAGGCAUUCAUGCAAAGGCAAGUUGUCCCUUCCUGGCUAGAAACCAGUGUGCCUCUGAACAAGAUGACAGCAUGCUGCAUGCUGACUAAUGAGUGCCCCUUCCUGGGCCACCUAGGUGCUCCUCACUCAUUACCUUGGUUUAUGUAGCUUGACAUGAGAAAUUGGAUAUUAUCCCAGCAAGGUGGCAUGGCUUCAGGCAAUGAUAUUUUACUCACAUAAUCUUGCCAAGUUCAUCUUAGCAGCAUUUUAUUUUCUGGUUCC